UUUUUAUUUACCAUAUAUAUAUAUAUAUAUAUAUAUAUGAGUUGGACUGGGCUACUAUUAGUAGCAAAAUCCCAUUGUUGCUACCAGUUUUUUAGCCUUUGGAUCAACUCUUUUCAUUAUUUCUAACCAUUGGAUUAAAUACUAUAACUCAGUAGGGACCACUCAACCCUAGGGGGACCACUCAACUCUAACCGACUAAUAUCAUCCUGACCCUACAAUUUUUCAUCCAAGGGUUAAAAACUUGGUAGCAAAAAGAGCGUUUUACUAUUAAUAGUAUUACAGCCUAAUUCUAUAUAUAUAUAUAUAUAUAUAUAUAUAUAUAUAUACA
rnacentral:lncRNA from 1 species